UACGGGGGGAGCAAGCGUUGUUCGGAUUUACUGGGCGUAAAGCGUGCGCAGGCGGUUUUGUAAGCCAGAUGUGAAAGCCCCGGGCUUAACCUGGGAAUGGCAUUUGGGACUGCAAGGCUGGAGUACGGCAGAGGGAGGUGGAAUUCCACGUGUAGCAGUGAAAUGCGUAGAGAUGUGGAGGAACACCGAUGGCGAAGGCAGCCUCCUGGGCUAGUACUGACGCUCAUGCACGGAAGCGUGGGGAGCAAACAGG
rnacentral:rRNA from 1 species